GACGAACGCUGGCGGCGUGGAUUAGGCAUGCAAGUCGAACGGUAUCAUCCUUUCGGGGGUGAGAGAGUGGCGAACUGGUGAGUAACACGUAGGUGAUCUACCCUCAAGAUUGGGACAACCCAGGGAAACUUGGGCUAAUACCGGAUGAAAGCAGCAGUGAUGUUGUUUGAAAGGUGGCGUAAGCUGCCGUUUGGGGAUGAGCCUGCGCUCUAUUAGUUAGUUGGCGGGGUAAAGGCCCACCAAGGCGAUGAUAGAUAGGCGGCCUUAACGGGUGGUCGCCCACACUGGGAUUGAGAUACGGCCCAGACUCCUACGGGAGGCAGCAGUCGAGAAUAGUCUACAAUGGCCGAAAGGCUGAUAGUGCGACGCCGCGUGAACGAAGAAGCCCUUCGGGGUGUAAAGUUCUUUUAUAUGUGAGCAGUGCUUUCUAUGUGAACAGCAUGGGGAAGAGAUAUUAGCAUAUGAAUAAGCAACGGCUAACUCCGU
rnacentral:rRNA from 1 species